UACGAAGGGGGCUAGCGUUGUUCGGAAUUACUGGGCGUAAAGCGCGCGCAGGCGGUUUUUCAAGUCAGUGGUGAAAGCCCGGAGCUCAACUCCGGAACUGCCAUUGAAACUGUAAGACUUGAGGAUGAGAGAGGUGAGUGGAAUUCCCAGUGUAGAGGUGAAAUUCGUAGAUAUUGGGAAGAACGCCGGUGGCGGAGGCGGCUCGCUGGCUCAUUACUGACGCUCAGGCGCGACAGCGUGGGGAUCAAACAGG
rnacentral:rRNA from 1 species